rnacentral:lncRNA from 1 species
AGGGAAUACUGAUCCUGAGCAAAUAUUGUAUGUAGCUUGCUGGUUAAAGAGCGCUGUUGGGGAUGAAGGGGUGCGAAUUUGUAAGGUACAGAGGAAGAAAGAGGGAAAUGAAGGAGGGGGUGAUAGGACUAGGAAAAGAUGGGACCCCCUGGAUUAUCUGCCUCCUUCUGCCCCUCCACCUUAUAAUCCUCUUCUUCAAGCACCUCAAAUGGAAGGUCCAGUUCUUCCCCCGGCUGCCAUCUCAUUACCACCUGUUCAAACUCCGCCUUCUACCUCUUCAGCUUCUGCUAUGAUAAACCCAGUACCUCCUCCAGUAACCACUCCCUCACAACCCCCUUCAGCUCCUCCAGUUCCUUCUGCAUCACCACAAGUGCCUACUACACCUGCUGCAUUCUCUACCCCUUUUCCAGCUGCACUUAAUAUCCACUCAGGCUCUUCUCCCCCUCCUAUUGCUGUCCCUUUACCUCCUCCUAGUUGGGGCACAAAUGCCUCCUCACCCAGUAAACGGCUAUCAGCAAAUACACCUGCUGAUGGGCAGAAAAUUCAGGGUAACCCAGAUAUCCCUCAAAGUAGUUUGGCAUCUGAAGAUGGGCCAUACUGUAGCACCAGAUCCAAGACCUCCAAGGCAGAGAGACUCUUUCCCCUCAAAGAAGUUCCUAUGGGAGGAGUAGCGGGAGGUGUUGGCUUUGUGAAUGCUCCCCUAAUUGCUUCUGAGGUGAGAGGAUUCAAGAAAGAGUUGGGGCAUUUAGUUGAGGACCCAGUGGGAAUAGCCAACCAAGCAGAUCAAUUUCUAGGUCCAAAUAUCUACACUUGGGGGGAGAUUAAUUCCAUCCUGAGUAUAUUAUUUUCGCCAGAAGAAGUCCACAUGAUUAGGGCGGCUGGCAUAAGAAUUUGGGAGAAAGAUAACCAUCCAGGACCCCAGGUGCCAUCAGGUGAACAGAAAUUGCCACUAACGGAUCCCAGCUGGAACCCUAACCAGGAGGAGGGGAGGAAGGCCAUGAAGGAAUAUAGGUCUUUGAUAAUACAGGGGAUCAAAGAGUCAGUUCCCAAAAGAACUGACACCCAAUUGGCAUUUGAGGGUACACAAGAGAAGGAUGAAGCUCCUGCUGCCUGGCUUAAUCGCC